rnacentral:rRNA from 1 species
ACGCUAGCGGGAGGCCUAACACAUGCAAGCCGAGCGGUAGAAGAUCUUCGGAUCUUUGAGAGCGGCGCACGGGUGCGGAACACGUGUGCAACCUACCUUUAUCAGGGGGAUAGCCUUUCGAAAGGAAGAUUAAUACCCCAUAAUAUAUUGAAUGGCAUCAUUUAAUAUUGAAAACUCCGGUGGAUAGAGAUGGGCACGCGCAAGAUUAGAUAGUUGGUGAGGUAACGGCUCACCAAGUCAAUGAUCUUUAGGGGGCCUGAGAGGGUGAUCCCCCACACUGGUACUGAGACACGGACCAGACUCCUACGGGAGGCAGCAGUGAGGAAUAUUGGACAAUGGGUGAGAGCCUGAUCCAGCCAUCCCGCGUGAAGGACGACGGCCCUAUGGGUUGUAAACUUCUUUUGUAUAGGGAUAAACCUUUCCACGUGUGGAAAGCUGAAGGUACUAUACGAAUAAGCACCGGCUAACUCCGUGCCAGCAGCCGCGGUAAUACGGAGGGUGCAAGCGUUAUCCGGAUUUAUUGGGUUUAAAGGGUCCGUAGGCGGACUCGUAAGUCAGUGGUGAAAUCUCAUAGCUUAACUAUGAAACUGCCAUUGAUACUGCGGGUCUUGAGUAAGGUAGAGGUAGCUGGAAUAAGUAGUGUAGCGGUGAAAUGCAUAGAUAUUACUUAGAACACCAAUUGCGAAGGCAGGUUACCAUGUCUUAACUGACGCUGAUGGACGAAAGCGUGGGGAGCGAAC